GUGAGUCAGCCACCUGGGGCUGCAGCCCUUGUUAGAGAAUGUUAAACGAGCAGGUCUCUGAGGAGGGGAGCUCAGCUUGGAGGGGUCUUGCCUGAAGACUGGGUGUAGCAGUGCCUCCUCUUGCCCUGAUAGGGGUUGGUAGCUUUGUGCAACAUUUGCUUGAUGUUGCAGGGCAAGGGAGAGAGGAUGUGGCUAGGGCUGGUUGGAGGCUGCAUCUAACUUUUCCAGGACCUACAGGGGCCAGCUUUGUUACCAGCCAGAAGAAGUGACGGCAGUAUCCUGGUGGUGGGGCAUUGUAUCUCCUAGGAGGGUGGAGCAAGUUAGCUGUGAGCGGGGCCUAGACACGUGCACUGCUGUGUUUGCUGCUGUUACACGAGGGCUGUCAGCACGGUGAUGGGGAGGCAGUGGAGAAGCUGAAGAGGUGAAGCAAUUUAGGACUCAACCCAAAGGUUAUCCAAGCCAUCAGGAAGCUUCGUGUUGGUUCCUGCAGCCUUCGGCAGAGGCGCAGCUCCCCUCACUGUAACCACAUCUGAGCCACUGCAACAGGCAUUACUUAAUAGCGCUGAGAAGAGAAGCAGAAGAAAAUUUCUUUGAAGUUUUACCUGGACCUGAAGAGGCAGGAGGAGAGAAGACAAAGUGGAAAUACGGGUGAAUGGAGGAGAGCCAUUUGCCACCAUCCAAACAGGUCCAUUUCAACCACUUUCCUGUUGCGUACCUGCUUUUAGCCAGAGCCACUUGAUGCAAGCAGAGGUUAGAGACCUUUGGGGCCAACGCUAAAGCUUCACGGGAGGAGUAAUGGACUCAGGGCUGUAAAGUUAAGGGAGGAAAAUACAUUCGAACUGCAAAAUGAAGACAGGUUGAGCUGCUGCCCCUUUCCAAGCUCUGCUCCCCACCCA
ensembl:lncRNA